rnacentral:rRNA from 1 species
UGGGGAAUUUUGGACAAUGGGCGCAAGCCUGAUCCAGCCAUGCCGCGUGAGUGAAGAAGGCCUUCGGGUUGUAAAGCUCUUUCGGACGGGAAGAACUGGCGGGCUCUAACAUCGCCUGUCGAUGACGGUACCGUAAGAAGAAGCACCGGCUAACUACGUGCCAGCAGCCGCGGUAAUACGUAGGGUGCGAGCGUUAAUCGGAACUACUGGGCGUAAAGCGUGCGCAGGCGGUUUUGUAAGACAGAUGUGAAAUCCCCGGGCUUAACCUAGGAACGGCGUUUGUGACUGCAAGGCUGGAGGACGGGAGAGGGGGGUGGAAUUCCACGUGUAGCAGUGAAAUGCGUAGAGAUGUGGAGGAACACCGAUGGCUAAGGCAGCCCCCGGGGCCUGUACUGACGCUCA